CCUACGGGAGGCAGCAGUGGGGAAUAUUGCACAAUGGGCGAAAGCCUGAUGCAGCAAUGCCGCGUGAGGGAAGAAGGACUUCGGGGCGUAAAGCUCUGUCAGCAGGGAAGAAAAAGAUACCACGUGACGAAUAAGCCCCGGCUAACAACUAGCAGGCAGCGGCGGCAAUACGGCGGGGGCAAGCGUUAUCCGGAUUAACUGGGUGUAAUGGGGGAUGAGGUGGUAUGGUAAGACAGAUGUGAAAACCCGGGGCCCAACCCUAGGACUGCAUUUGAAACUGCCAAACUGGAGUACAGGAGAGGUAAGCGGAAUUCCUAGUGUAGCGGUGAAAUGCGUAGAUAUUAGGAAGAACACCAGUGGCGAAGGCGGCUUACUGGACUGUAACUGACGCUGAGGCUCGAAAGCGUGGGGAGCAAACAGGAUUAGAUACCCGAGUAGUC
rnacentral:rRNA from 1 species